rfam:Pichia kudriavzevii strain SD108 scaffold00038, whole genome shotgun sequence.
UCCUUGUUAGCUCAGUCGGUAGAGCGUUCGGCUUUUAAGAAUUCUUUAAGAAGUCGACCGAAAUGUCCAGGGUUCGAGCCCCUGAUAAGGAG